GUGUCAGCAGCCGCGGUAAUACGGAGGGUGCAAGCGUUAUCCGGAUUCACUGGGUUUAAAGGGUGCGUAGGUGGGUUGGUAAGUCAGUGGUGAAAUCUCCAGGCUUAACUUGGAAACUGCCAUUGAUACUAUCAAUCUUGAAUACCGUGGAGGUCAGCGGAAUAUGUCAUGUAGCGGUGAAAUGCUUAGAUAUGACAUAGAACACCAAUUGCGAAGGCAGCUGGCUACACGAAUAUUGACACUGAUGCACGAAAGCGUGGGGAUCAAACAGGAUUAGAAACCCCAGUAGUCC
rnacentral:rRNA from 1 species